AUGGAUGACGACGGCGGCGCCUCCCCGUCCCACCACGGCGGCGCCGGAGGAAGCAUCCGGCUGCAAUGCGAAUGCGGCUUCAAGGACGACUACAGCCUCGACGACACCGAGGACGGCCGCUUCUACUGCGGGCGGUGCUACGGCGACCUCGACACCCAGGCGACCGCCGUCGACCACGCCGAUUUCCAAACCCCGGGCAACAUGUCCUUUCACCGAGUUUCCCAACCCACCAAAACCUCGGUGCCCUACCCAACCCCUUACCCCGGGCAACCCCCUGCUGCCCCUCCCUUCGAAGAAUCCCACGAGCCGCGCGACUUUGUGCCUGGCGCCGGCCCAGAGGAGCUGGGGGCUCGGGUCCGGCGGCGCUACGUGGAGGGGCUGCAGGUGAUCCUGGAGCAGCAGCUGCAAGUGCUGGUGGAGAGGUACCGGGUGGGCGCGCUCGUCUGCGGCGUGGCCGGAACCGUCUGGCUGCGCUGGCUGGCUGCCUCCAAGGUGUUCGACGGAAUGUGGGCGCGGAAGGUGCUCGCCGGGGCCGGGGCCGGGGCCGAGGCCGCGCAGAGACUGAUGAAGCGCUCUGCCAGUGGAGGCGAGCAGAAGCCUCAAGGAGUGAAGUGUGAAUGGGCGGAUGAAGCCGCGCCUCGAAAAGACAGGCGAAGGGUCGAGUUCAUCUAUAUGCGCUCGUUGAGGACGAUGCUGCCGCUGUACUCGACAUUAUCUGUCUGUUUCCUGGCCUGUCAUAUUGCCCGGGAAGCCGUCCUACCGACCGACAUUUAUAGGUGGGCGAUGGAGGGUAAGCUUCCUUAUGUGGCGGCAUUUACGGAAGUGGACAAGCUUCUUGGGAGCCCUCUAAGACACUGCCCUCUGAAUGCGAGACAACUGUUCAGGCCAGUCCGAGUGAUUGGAGCGUGGCAGCUGGAAGCGGCAGCUGGGUUCGUAGCACAAAGAAUAGGCUUGCAGCUUCCUUCAGUUAAUUUCUAUGCUAUUGCUCAGCGCUACUUGGAUGAGUUGUCUCUGCCGAUAGAAAGAAUACUCCCUCACGCUUGCCGCAUCUAUGAGUGGGCAAUGCCUCCAGAACUGUGGUUGUCUAGUAAUCCAGCCAGGGUCCCUACACGGGUCUGUGUAAUGGCUAUACUAAUAGUUGCUUUAAGAGUUCAGUAUAACAUCAAUGGUCAAGGGGUAUGGGAGGAAAUUUGCGAGGCAGCAAGAAAUCCAGGUGGGUCUGACCGUGAUGCAAAUUUAGCACCAUCUAUGAAGCCUGAUGUCGACACCAGUGAGGAGCUUGGCACAAGAGAAUUGCUAUGGACUCUUGUAGAUGCCUAUGACAAAAUUGACGUUGCACAUGACUAUUCGAAGGACCUUCACACAUAUCUCAGAUAUUGCAAAGAUGUUGUUUUUCCUGGGAUUGCAUGUUCAGUUGAAGAAGAACACUUAAUAGAGAUCUUCCAGGAUCUGUACAAAGGACGAGAGGAUGAGAAUUCAAAAGCGCACACCACAAAUGGAGUGAAUAAACGAGGUAGGGAUGGGACUUCUGUUGGCGCAAGGUGCGUUUCUGCAUUAUCAUCAUCAGGGAUACAAAGUAUCAAGUCAGAAAUGGAAGACCACGGAUUUUGUUAUAUGCCACCAAGGAAGUGGCCAAAAUCAGAUGGUUACCUUCACUAUAGAAGAAAGACAAUGACUGGUCAUCUUGUUUGUGCUGGACAUGCUGAUUAUUACCUGUUGCUACGCUCAUUUGCCAAGCUUGCGGAAGUUGAUAUUAGGGUUAUGCAUGCUAGUGUGUUAAAACUUGAGAGGAGACUUGGCUGGAUAGAGGAAAGAAUAGGCAGGAGCUUGGAUGCCUUGCAAAAUCUACCUAGCUAA
rnacentral:rRNA from 1 species